GUCAGUGUAUUGUAGUGGUUUGGGCAUCUGAUUAUGACUCUGAAAAUCAGGGUUCAAAUCCCUGCUUGGCCA